UACGUAGGGUGCGAGCGUUAAUCGGAAUUACUGGGCGUAAAGCGUGCGCAGGCGGUUAUAUAAGACAGUUGUGAAAUCCCCGGGCUCAACCUGGGAAUUACAUCUGUGACUGUAUAGCUAGAGUACAGUAGAGGGGGAUGGAAUUCCGCGUGUAGCAGUGAAAUGCGUAGAUAUGCGGAGGAACACCGAUGGCGAAGGCAAUCCCCUGGACCUGUACUGACGCUCAUGCACGAAAGCGUGGGGAGCAAACAGG
rnacentral:rRNA from 1 species